UACGGAGGAUGCAAGCGUUAUCCGGAAUGAUUGGGCGUAAAGCGUCCGCAGGUGGCUGUGUAAGUCUGCUGUUAAAGAGUGAGGCUCAACCUCAUAAAAGCAGUGGAAACUACAUAGCUAGAGUACGUUCGGGGCAGAGGGAAUUCCUGGUGUAGCGGUGAAAUGCGUAGAGAUCAGGAAGAACACCAGUGGCGAAGGCGCUCUGCUAGGCCGUAACUGACACUGAGGGACGAAAGCUAGGGGAGCGAAUGGG
rnacentral:rRNA from 1 species